AACAAACGCUGGCGGCGUGCCUAAUACAUGCAAGUCGAAUGGGUAGCAAUACCAGUGGCGCACGGGUGAGGAAUACAUAGAUAAUCUGCCUUCGAGUCGGGGAUAACCAGUCGAAAGACUGGCUAAUACCGGAUAAGACCACAAGAUCUGCGGAUCAAGGGGUUAAAGGUUUUUCGCUUGAAGAUGAGUCUAUGCGAGAUUAGCUAGUUGGUGAGGUAAUGGCUCACCAAGGCGACGAUCUCUAACUGGUCUUAG
rnacentral:rRNA from 1 species